rnacentral:rRNA from 1 species
CAGCCGCCGCGGUAAUACGUAGGUGGCAAGCGUUGUCCGGAAUUAUUGGGCGUAAAGCGCGCGCAGGCGGUCCUUUAAGUCUGAUGUGAAAGCCCCCGGCUCAACCGGGGAGGGUCAUUGGAAACUGGGGGACUUGAGUGCAGGAGAGGGAAGUGGAAUUCCACGUGUAGCGGUGAAAUGCGUAGAGAUGUGGAGGAACACCAGUGGCGAAGGCGGCUUCCUGGCCUGUAACUGACGCUGAGGCGCGAAAGCGUGGGGAGCAAACAGGAUUAGAUACCCUGGUAGUCCACGCCGUAAACGAUGAGUGCUAAGUGUUAGGGGGUUUCAGCCCCUUAGUGCUGCAGCUAACGCAUUAAGCACUCCGCCUGGGGAGUACGGCCGCAAGGCUGAAACUUAAAGGAAUUGGCGGG